AAAAUGUACAUUUGAUUAUCUCAUCUACUAUCUUCAUCAUUUAUGUAGGCUGUUCAGAAGAGGAGGGUGGUAAAGGAGAUUCGAGUGGUGUUCAAGCUCAGCUGCUACUUGGGUGCUAUAGAGUGACAAUGAACUGAACCGAAAAUGGCAAGAUAAUGAUCCAACAUUUGGUCAUCGAAUGCCUGAUUACGACUCCCUAGCUACCCAAUCAACUAUCAAGAGUCAUCAAGAAGUGUAUGGAAUGAGUGAAGGAAGCUUUAACGAUCAUAAUGAUCAAUUAGAUGGUCAUGACAAUGGAACGACAAGGGACUCAUUCUAGUAAAUGUGUACAUGCCCCAAUUUGAGGUAAAUAAAAAGCAAUUGUUACAUAUAUACUUUGUUGUUAAGAAUAUAUAGUUCCACAUUGAAAAUAUUCAGCACAGGUCAGAUUAGGUAAUAUCCUUGUAUGCUUCUGCUAGGUUUUUGCAUUUGUUGCCACUGAAGAGAAGGCUUGAUAAUGGCAUCCAUUUGUAUUACAUUUUAGGCAUGACAAGCUUUUCUGUUUUAUUUGUUUGCGGCAUUAAUUGUGAUUAGUAACAGAUCUCAAUGAUGUUUUAGACUACAUAAUUUAGGCGUUCAUUUGCUCUCUUUAGCUUUUUGCCGUUGAUUUUAUCCGCUUCUCCCUAAUCUAUCUUACAUAUUUAAGGAGAUGCUAAUAAUGGAUUAUUAUUUACUAC